GAGCCAGAAGCAGCCGCCGGGAUGGAUGUGUGCCUCAUGAUCCGGCGCCACAAGACCACCAUCUGCACGGACGCCAAGGAGUCGAGCACCGUGUUCGAGCUGAAGCGCAUCGUCGAGGACAUCCUCAAGCGGCCACCGGACGAGCAGCGGCUCUACAAGGACGACCAGCUUCUAGAUGAUGGGGAAAACGCUGGGCGAGUGUGGCUUCACCAGCCAGACAGCACGGCCACAGGCCCCAGCCACAGUGGGCCUAGCCUUCCGGGCAGAUGAAGCGUUUGAGGCCCUGCGCAUCGAGCCCUUCUCCAGCCCACCAGAGCUUCCAGAUGUGACGAAGCCUCAGGAUUCCGGAGGCAGCGCCAAUGAACAAGCUGUGCAGUGAGGGCCCCAGGCAUGCCCCAGAGGCUCAUUCCCCCUACCCCCAAUAAAAGAGAUUUGGGUGUCAAAAAAAAAAA